UAUCUUUGCCCACGAAUUGGUUCCGGAUGCAUGUUUCUAUUAUCUGGAUUAAAAGGGAAUCGGGUGUAAAUCCCGGACAGUCCCGCUGCUGUGAAACUCCGUUUUAAAUCAUGAAAAACACCCUCGCCACUGAUAUGUGUUGAACAAUCGGGAAGGCUUCAGGAUUAGGAGUCAGUCAGAAGACCUGCCAUUCAUUAAAGGCUGCC
rnacentral:ncRNA from 2 species